GAUGAACGCUGGCGGCGUGCCUAAUACAUGCAAGUCGAGCGAACGGACGAGAAGCUUGCUUCUCUGAUGUUAGCGGCGGACGGGUGAGUAACACGUGGAUAACCUACCUAUAAGACUGGGAUAACUUCGGGAAACCGGAGCUAAUACCGGAUAAUAUUUUGAACCGCAUGGUUCAAAAGUGAAAGACGGUCUUGCUGUCACUUAUAGAUGGAUCCGCGCUGCAUUAGCUAGUUGGUAAGGUAACGGCUUACCAAGGCAACGAUGCAUAGCCGACCUGAGAGGGUGAUCGGCCACACUGGAACUGAGACACGGUCCAGACUCCUACGGGAGGCAGCAGUAGGGAAUCUUCCGCAAUGGGCGAAAGCCUGACGGAGCAACGCCGCGUGAGUGAUGAAGGUCUUCGGAUCGUAAAACUCUGUUAUUAGGGAAGAACAUAUGUGUAAGUAACUGUGCACAUCUUGACGGUACCUAAUCAGAAAGCCACGGCUAACUACGUGCCAGCAGCCGCGGUAAUACGUAGGUGGCAAGCGUUAUCCGGAAUUAUUGGGCGUAAAGCGCGCGUAGGCGGUUUUUUAAGUCUGAUGUGAAAGCCCACGGCUCAACCGUGGAGGGUCAUUGGAAACUGGAAAACUUGAGUGCAGAAGAGGAAAGUGGAAUUCCAUGUGUAGCGGUGAAAUGCGCAGAGAUAUGGAGGAACACCAGUGGCGAAGGCGACUUUCUGGUCUGUAACUGACGCUGAUGUGCGAAAGCGUGGGGAUCAAACAGGAUUAGAUACCCUGGUAGUCCACGCCGUAAACGAUGAGUGCUAAGUGUUAGGGGGUUUCCGCCCCUUAGUGCUGCAGCUAACGCAUUAAGCACUCCGCCUGGGGAGUACGACCGCAAGGUUGAAACUCAAAGGAAUUGACGGGGACCCGCACAAGCGGUGGAGCAUGUGGUUUAAUUCGAAGCAACGCGAAGAACCUUACCAAAUCUUGACAUCCUUUGACAACUCUAGAGAUAGAGCUUUCUCCUUUGGGGGACAAAGUGACAGGUGGUGCAUGGUUGUCGUCAGCUCGUGUCGUGAGAUGUUGGGUUAAGUCCCGCAACGAGCGCAACCCUUAAGCUUAGUUGCCAUCAUUAAGUUGGGCACUCUAAGUUGACUGCCGGUGACAAACCGGAGGAAGGUGGGGAUGACGUCAAAUCAUCAUGCCCCUUAUGAUUUGGGCUACACACGUGCUACAAUGGACAAUACAAAGGGCAGCGAAACCGUGAGGUCAAGCAAAUCCCAUAAAGUUGUUCUCAGUUCGGAUUGUAGUCUGCAACUCGACUACAUGAAGCUGGAAUCGCUAGUAAUCGUAGAUCAGCAUGCUACGGUGAAUACGUUCCCGGGUCU
rnacentral:rRNA from 1 species